rnacentral:tRNA from 1 species
AAAGAUAUAGUUGAUAAACAACAUUAAAUUGCAAAUUUAAAGGUGCCUAGAAGUUAUCUUU